rnacentral:miRNA from 1 species
GCGGGCGGCCCCGAGGUGCAUUGCUGUUGCAUUGCACGUGUGUGGCGGGUGCAGUGCCUCAGCAGUGCAGCCCGGGGCCAGCCCCUGGCGCCGC